CCAGGUGCCUGACGAGGGCAGCCAUUUUGGAGGCAAGGGCUGUCUAUAUAAACAGGGCAGUUUGGCUGCUGGAGGCUAGGCAGCAACAUUGCCUGGCUGGAGGGUUGCUGAGAACAAUCUGGAGGACUGGAGAGGACCAUUUCCCAUCCUCCCUCAGGCCAUUGGCUUAAGAUCCCUCAACAGAACCUCUAAAACCAGGAAAAGUGUAACAUGGAAACAGGAGAGGUGUAAUGUGGACAAGCGCCCCUGGAUGGCUCCUGUGUCUGACUGAAAGUGCUCCCAAAAAUCAGAUUAAAACUGAAGAAAACAAGAGAAAGCUGUAAGAGAAGUUAAAAUAAGGAAGCACACUUUCUGCAGAUUAAAAAAGGAAACUGAAUCCUACCUCCUCUGCAGGACUGAGGAAAUCCCGAGAAUUUUAGCUGUCACUUGGGAAGUUAUAUCACUGGCAUUCUUACCAUUUCAUCAAAAGGAGAAGAAGAAAGAAAGAAAGAAAGAAAGAAAGAAAGAAAGAAAGAAAGAAAGAAAACUUGGAGAGGUUUUAACAUAUAACUGUGGUUGGUUUCCUGUGUGUUCUGUGGCUUUUUUUGGUCCAAAGAAGGGAGCUCGUGUGAACUUGCAGAAGCCAUAUAAUUCACAGCCUAAAGAUUUUGUAUAGUAAAAAUGUAACUGCCAGAGGUAAUGUGAUGCUUCAUUAAGUAGUGUUGGUGAUGUUCUUUUGUUCCUAAAAUAGAAGAUAUUACAUACUUUAAUUUCCAGGAAGAAACUAUUUCUUCCCUCAUUUGCUGCAGCCUGGGACCCCUUCUUUUCUGUCAGGCUUUCUUGGCUGGGUCUGUUGGUCAAAAUAUCCCUUCUUCCAUAUCAUUAUUUUGGGUCUCUUUUAUGCAAAAUCUUUGGCUCCUUAAUUUAUGCAGAAAGAGCAAUGGAUUUUUCUCUUGGAGUUUAUCUAGAGCCCCCUUAAAUUAACUAAGACCUGAAUGGUAGCACUGGUCACUGAUAACACAGCACUGAACCUUGUGUGAAGUCAUUCUGGAAUAACUUAUUGACCAAAAAGUAAACCAGAUUAAAUAUUAAUAUUUUAUUAUUCAUAAAACUGGAAUUGAAAAAAGGACAGGUUGUUAGAGAGCAAAAAAAUGCUUUCUCUUUAAGGAGAGAUCAAAGGGGACCAUUUUUAUGCUCCCAGUCCCUUGGUUAAUAUAAAAAUAUGUAACCUUUAAGAAUUACAGUUCAUAUCUGUACUUACGGUAUUUGAGCUGAGAAUUCAGGUCUAAAGGUUAUGUUUUGGUCUCCCUGCAUCUCCAUAAAGAAUGAAAAACAAUUCAGGAGUCUGCAAGGGUUUUUUUGCUUGCUGAAGGUACAAGAAGUUUUAAAAAACUCACUAAAUUGUUUCAGCCAAAACUUUAGCAAUAUGGUUUUAAAGCUGACUCAUGUUUCUUUCAUACAGAUGAUACAAUGGAAUGGAUGCAACGAGUAUUUCAAAAAAAUCAAUCUUAAUUCAUAUAUACCAGGUAUAAAUUACUACCAAACAUAAAGUUAUCCACUGCCCCAUGUGUUGAUCCAAUUUUUAUUAACGUUAUUUGGAGCUAACAUUAUGGCUCACAUCUUCAGAAGUGUUUAGGCAACAAGCUUCUAUUCAUUUCAAGGGUAGCUUGGCACCUAAACAGGAAUUCAGCUACCACUGAAGAUCUGCGUCUAAGCUCUUGGUAUUCCAGAGAAAAAUAACUGUUCUAUGGAAAUUUUAACUAAAAAACUUGGUAGUUAUGAACCUACAAAAUUUGAGAUGUGACAAAAGUUUCCUUCAUCCUUUCAGUUUCUAUUUUUUUUCAUAGUUACCUACUCAGCAGCAAGAAUUCUCACCCCACAAAAUGUCCAGCAUCCUCCCCUUCCCUGGCAAUCUUCUCAGCCUUUAAUGUGUGUUGCGAUAUUCUCAGGAUCUAAUAGGGAAUCAUAAGGCUUACUGAGUUAUAAUUCUCAGGUAUGCCCCCAAGCCCUUUUAAAAAAUAUAGGUUAAGCAUUUACUAUCUGUCAGUCCUCUGAAACAGUGGAUGUUUUUAAUGAGUGAAUGAUUGCAAAUUUGUGUUAGCAGCUUGGCCAAUUCAGACCUAAGUAGUUUUAGAAUUCUUGGAUGUAACUGUCUAGGCCUGGGGGCUCUUUGCUCUUAAAAUGAGCAAUAUGUUUCAGAACUUAUUUCUCUAAAAGAUUUAAUCUUUAUGGCUAGAAAACAACAGUUCUGGUGUACCUGUUUCCUGAUCCUAUUCAAUGGUAAAUGCUAAUAAAAGAAAUUAUUUAGCUUCUCAGCAAUAUUUUAUCUUCCUUAAAGUUAAUCUGUCUUCCUAGAUUAUCCAGCAGGUCCUUUCAUUCUUAGUACUUCCAUACUUAAAGAACUUUUCAUUACUAUUUGGACCUUUAUCUAUUCUUCCAAAUCCAUUUUGGCCCGUCUCAUUUCUAGUUUACUUAAUGUCUGUUGUAAUUUACAUUUUGUUUACUGCCUUCCCUAGGGUCAUAUUCUAAAUGCCAAGGAAUUUACAUUUGAUAUCAACAACCUCCUGAGCUCUGCCAUUUAACAAUAGUGGUUUACCCUCACAUUCCUGGUUCCUGUUUCCUUUAAUGGUAUACAUCUUCAGGGACUCAACAUCCGCAGUCUGCCCAGAUCUUGGUGAACUGGGUCUAUUAAGUUGAAAAAUGGAAAUUGCAGAACAGUACUAUUCAAUUGUGUACAUUUUAUCAGCCAUGCAGACAGUUGUUCUUUCUAGUUUGAACAUUUUAUGAAACUGGUCAAAAUGUUGGGUUUUUUUCAGAGGCACACACCUUUGGGCAUCUUUAUAUUUUACAUGGGCAAUAUGCAACUUCAUAAAGUUUGUAGUGAAUGUUUGCGAUAAAACAAGUAAUUUUAUUAUCCAGAGGCAGUUUUUUUAACUACUUUCUCAUCUUUAGUAGAAAUCAAUUUGACUCUGUUUCACAUCAAUAGAACAUCUUCAAGUUGAACCCCUGAGGUGGGUAUA